rnacentral:tRNA from 1 species
GGGGUUGUAGCUCUGUGGUUGAGUGCUUGCCUUGAAUGCAAGAGGCACUGGUUUCGAUCCUCGGCACCA